rnacentral:rRNA from 1 species
CAYUUCMCGGUAAAAGAACUGGCCCAGAUCGUUUACCGUGAAAAAAUUAGAGUGUUCAAAGCAGGCAGAUCCAAUUUUCKGCCWCCGAAUACAUUAGCAUGGGAUAAUGGAAUAGGACCCUGUCCUCCUAUUUUCAGUUGGUUUUGGCAGCSCGAGGACUAGGGUAAUSAUUAAUAGGGAUAGUUGGGGGCAUUAAUAUUUAAUUGUCAGAGGUGAAAUUCUUGKAUUUAWGAAAGAUUAACUUCYGCGAAAGCAUCURCCAAGGAUGUUUUCAUUAAUCAAGAACGAAAGUUAGGGGAUCGAAGACGAUCAGAUACCGUCGUAGUCUUAACCCUAAACGAUGCCGWCCAGCGAUUAGGAGACGUUGAAUACUUCCCCCCACCAUCGGCGCGGUCGUCCUUGGCGUCGGUCUUUCGGGGCCGGC